rnacentral:rRNA from 1 species
AGAGUUUGAUCAUGGCUCAGAUUGAACGCUGGCGGCAGGCCUAACACAUGCAAGUCGAACGGUAACAGGAAACAGCUUGCUGUUUCGCUGACGAGUGGCGGACGGGUGAGUAAUGUCUGGGAAACUGCCUGAUGGAGGGGGAUAACUACUGGAAACGGUAGCUAAUACCGCAUAACGUCGCAAGACCAAAGAGGGGGACCUUCGGGCCUCUUGCCAUCAGAUGUGCCCAGAUGGGAUUAGCUAGUAGGUGGGGUAACGGCUCACCUAGGCGACGAUCCCUAGCUGGUCUGAGAGGAUGACCAGCCACACUGGAACUGAGACACGGUCCAGACUCCUACGGGAGGCAGCAGUGGGGAAUAUUGCACAAUGGGCGCAAGCCUGAUGCAGCCAUGCCGCGUGUAUGAAGAAGGCCUUCGGGUUGUAAAGUACUUUCAGCGGGGAGGAAGGGAGUAAAGUUAAUACCUUUGCUCAUUGACGUUACCCGCAGAAGAGGCACCGGCUAACUCCGUGCCAGCAGCCGCGGUAAUACGGAGGGUGCAAGCGUUAAUCGGAAUUACUGGGCGUAAAGCGCACGCAGGCGGUUUGUUAAGUCAGAUGUGAAAUCCCCGGGCUCAACCUGGGAACUGCAUCUGAUACUGGCAAGCUUGAGUCUCGUAGAGGGGGGUAGAAUUCCAGGUGUAGCGGUGAAAUGCGUAGAGAUCUGGAGGAAUACCGGUGGCGAAGGCGGCCCCCUGGACGAAGACUGACGCUCAGGUGCGAAAGCGUGGGGAGCAAACAGGAUUAGAUACCCUGGUAGUCCACGCCGUAAACGAUGUCGACUUGGAGGUUGUGCCCUUGAGGCGUGGCUUCCGGAGCUAACGCGUUAAGUCGACCGCCUGGGGAGUACGGCCGCAAGGUUAAAACUCAAAUGAAUUGACGGGGGCCCGCACAAGCGGUGGAGCAUGUGGUUUAAUUCGAUGCAACGCGAAGAACCUUACCUGGUCUUGACAUCCACGGAAGUUUUCAGAGAUGAGAAUGUGCCUUCGGGAACCGUGAGACAGGUGCUGCAUGGCUGUCGUCAGCUCGUGUUGUGAAAUGUUGGGUUAAGUCCCGCAACGAGCGCAACCCUUAUCCUUUGUUGCCAGCGGUCCGGCCGGGAACUCAAAGGAGACUGCCAGUGAUAAACUGGAGGAAGGUGGGGAUGACGUCAAGUCAUCAUGGCCCUUACGACCAGGGCUACACACGUGCUACAAUGGCGCAUACAAAGAGAAGCGACCUCGCGAGAGCAAGCGGACCUCAUAAAGUGCGUCGUAGUCCGGAUUGGAGUCUGCAACUCGACUCCAUGAAGUCGGAAUCGCUAGUAAUCGUGGAUCAGAAUGCCACGGUGAAUACGUUCCCGGGCCUUGUACACACCGCCCGUCACACCAUGGGAGUGGGUUGCAAAAGAAGUAGGUAGCUUAACCUUCGGGAGGGCGCUUACCACUUUGUGAUUCAUGACUGGGGUGAAGUCGUAACAAGGUAACCGUAGGGGAACCUGCGGUUG